GACGAAUGCUGGCGGCGUGCUUAACACAUGCAAGUCGAACGGAAAGGCCCUGCUUUUGUGGGGUGCUCGAGUGGCGAACGGGUGAGUAACACGUGAGUAACCUGCCCUUGACUUUGGGAUAACUUCAGGAAACUGGGGCUAAUACCGGAUAGGAGCUCCUGCUGCAUGGUGGGGGUUGGAAAGUUUCGGCGGUUGGGGAUGGACUCGCGGCUUAUCAGCUUGUUGGUGGGGUAGUGGCUUACCAAGGCUUUGACGGGUAGCCGGCCUGAGAGGGUGACCGGCCACAUUGGGACUGAGAUACGGCCCAGACUCCUACGGGAGGCAGCAGUGGGGAAUAUUGCACAAUGGGCGGAAGCCUGAUGCAGCAACGCCGCGUGCGGGAUGACGGCCUUCGGGUUGUAAACCGCUUUCGCCUGUGACGAGGCGUGAGUGACGGUAAUGGGUAAAGAAGCACCGGCUAACUACGUG
rnacentral:rRNA from 1 species